GCCUCAGUUUCUUCAUCUAUACAAUUAAGAUAAAAAUAGUUGUAUUGCUUAGGGAUACUGUGAAGAAAUCAAUAGAUGUGAAAACACUUUGUAAAAGUUAGACAGUAAAUAUAUGCAUGGUAGUACAUAUGUAUGCAUUAGUACAAUCUGGUUACCACACUGGAGUUGGGAUUUUUGAUAUUAUUACCCUUAUCUUUACCCUUCCCUGUCAUUACUGCAUCUCUUGGCUUUUUGCUUAGAUCCUUGAUCUUCAGGACCUGAUGUGCUGAAUGUCAAUAUCCAUCCGUUCACUGAGAUGAUCUUACCAGGCUCAAUGUCUUCUUAUCGCUUCAUGCAAAGGUCAUUUUCUCACUCUCUUUCAGUCCCAGCUGUCACACAGAGAAAACCCAAGACAGCAACAUGUUCUGGAAGCCAGGUGAGGAGAGAUUUUUAAGAGGGAGAGAGUGAAAAAUUCUGUCGAAUGUCAAAUUCUUUUCAAGGAAGGUGAAGCCUGAGAAUUGAGCAUUGAAUUUAGCAAUGUGGAAGUUACUGGUGAGCUUGAUAGGAGCAAAUUGGGGGAAAAAAUGAAAUAAAUUUCAAUUAGAGUAGAUUCAACAGAGAGCAGGAAGAACUAAAUUAGAGGCAAUGAUAAACAGCUCUUUCAAAGAACUGUGUUUUGUUUUGUUACUUUUUUUCUUAAGAUAAGGAAAAGAAUGGGCAAUAGCUGGAAAGACAAUAGGAUGAUGAAAGGUUUUACCAGACAAUACAGACAAAAAAGAGGGAUACAUUGAUAAGACAGGAGAGAAGAAAAUUGCUGGAACAAUGACUUGAGUAGGUUAGAGCCAUACUGGAGGGGCUGGCCUUCUGAAAUGCAGAUGGCUCAACUAUAUCACAGGAAGAGAGCUGGAACAUGUGUACACACAUGCAUCAGGGGAGG
rnacentral:lncRNA from 1 species